ACAAGUUUUGUGAGGUGCUUUCGUGAUAUUUAACGGAUCGGAUUACAUUUUUUAUUUCUCUCCGAUAUCCCAUCCAGUAAUUUAGGUCAGUAUCGGACUGAUACCGAUAUGUAAUAUCAGAUCGGUCCAUCUCUAAUUCAGACACGUGAGGUUGUGCUGAAAAGGAUGAUACCAAACCAGGCAAAGUAAAAAGUUUUUAUGGGUAAAAUCUAAAAUAGUACAAAAUGGCCAAUGUUUUUUUGUUUUUUUUUAAAGUAACGCAAUAGUUACUUUUCAAGUAAUUUAUUACUCCAUUACUAACUCAUUUACUUUUUUGAAGAAGUAACUAGAAACUAUAAUUAAUUACUUUUUCAAAGUAACUUGCCCAACACUGCUUGUCACCAUGACAGGUGCCUGGAGUGGAGUGUUAAAAAGAAAGAUGACCUAUCUAAGGUUAGGGUUGUGUCUCGUUUCAGCGGCAUGCUGAAAAACUGUGGCGUGUUAACAUAAUGCGAACCCAACCACUAAGACUGAGCUUUUAUGUUUCGUUAAGUUAAGGAUUGUGAAGGUACUGCAGGUGGGCUCCAGUAAUAACACAAAUUCAGUUUGAAAGUGAUCAAAAAUUUAUACGUUUUCAUAUGUAAUAAAUGUAUUUAUUUCUAUAAAAAGUGAAGUAAAACCCUGGUUAGUUGGCUCAAUACUCUGACCAAAAUUUACUGUUCUUCUAUUGAAGUUUGUGUCCCAGUGGCAGGCGAGUCACACGUUGCCCUUAACACUUUGCAUUUGACUGGGUCGCAUUAGCAAUUUAUAGCCAGCAGCCUGUGUUAUUUGCAUUUUUUUAAAAUAAGAAUUUCAAGGAAAUCCAUGAAGUUCUCUUUUAAUUUGAUUAGAGUGCAGAUUUAAGAUUGGGCCUGUGGGAUCUUCUGUCUCCUUUUAAGGACGCUGCUGCACUCUCAACUUUGGGAAAGGCUGUGAUAAACUAUCCGACAUAUAUAAGUUACAUCGUUCUGCUGUAUUCCUGUAUUACAUGUCACAAGUCAAGAUCUGCCAUCUCUGUUACUGGAAUCACAUUCCUACAUUUCCACAUAUGGAAACCUUAUUGUUCCAAGACAAAGCUGUGGACUUGUCCUUUAAAUGUGCCCUGCUCGAGUGGUUUAAUCAGACCCAACACGACUCCUUGCCGUGAAGUUCCCUUGAAUCAAGUCAUCUGGAUGUCAUCAUGGGCAUAUGGACACCAUAUUGUGUCCGACAGUGGCGACUACUGCCGUGUGGUUUCACCACAGGAAAGUGGUAGCUCUUGAAGUGUUGUGAAUUCAGCACUUUGCAAGUGUAGACUGUUUGUCUGCGAGAGUCCCUAUGGGCUGCGCACCACUCACACCCUCUUGUGUACACAGAUUGUUUAGUCAGCCUUAAACAGCCACACAUGCAUGAUGUACAGUACUUGCUGCUAAUGUAUACACACAUGCAGGAAUGCACACAUUCUUUUAGUAAAGCUAAAUCAACCGUGCGAGAGCCCUACAUCUGCCUUAAAUCAGGACUGAUCAGUCUCCCCAAUCAACCAUUUUGGCCCCCUUCAAAAUGCUCCAUUUCCUGACCCUCAUCUCUCUCUUUCUUUUUCUCUCUUUUCGCUAUUAGUCAACCCCCCCCCCCCUCUGAUUCUUUUUUAACAACCCUUCUCCAAACACUGCGACUGCCAGGUUUGUCAGCCGGUGUAGAUUUAGCUGCCUUGUCAGUAGCGCUGCUGUCCUAAUCUCUAUCACAGCCUCAACUCUGGCCUUGAGGAAUGAUCAGACAGAGAAUGAAAGAGGGUGAGAGAGAAGCAGAUUUUGAGCCAGAAUAGCUUUCUUUUUUCGUUCUGCUUUUUUUCUCAAAUAAGCAAAUAUGUAAAGUGGCAAAGGCCCAGUGCAGACCUACCCGAGAGAUGUUUAUGACUAGAAAGCUGCAGCCUCCCCUUGGCCCUUUGAAAGAAAGAGAAGAGGUUGGAAGGAGGGAGGCGGGGGGUUCAGAGGGGAGGCAGACUUGGCACAAUGCUCCGACUAGUGUUCUGAAUUAGCAAAGGCCUCGUUCACCCCCACUCCUGCCCCUUUGUACCUUCUCCCCUUUAUUUUCUUUAUCUUUCACUCUUUGAUUUUUUCCCCCCUUCCUCCUAAUGGCUCACGGCUCGUCAUAAAGUAGGCUAAUUUAUGGAAGCUUGACUGCGUUGGCCUAUGAUUUUAAGGAUCACAUUAGGAACAUAAGCUUCUUUUUGGCUUUUGUGCCAGAUGAUUAGGCUGUAAUUAUGUUCACAACGUUGGGUCAGUAUUGUGCUGACUUACUUAGUACACAGGACACGUUCGUUUCUAAAGAUUGAAAGAUGCUUGAAACAUCUAUAUAUGAUUCCUUUUGUUGCUAGUAAAUACUAUAAGUUGAAGUUUGUACUUAAACAUUCAAACCUUGAAACACAAGUCCACCAGUUAGGUUCUAAUGGUUGGAAGAAAUGCAGUGAUGUAAUGGCCAUAUAACAUCCAAGUGCACUGUUGGACCCUUAAAGCAUAUCUUUUUUAUGUUCCUACCAUUUCAGGUGCACAUUAGAGGGUUCUGUGUGUGUAUUCUGCAACUGGUCCCAAAUAAACCUUUACCAAGAAGUGGAUCUUUCUUACACCUUUUUUCCACCAAGCAAUAAGACUGGUAAAAACAAACAUUUGGUCUCUAUAGCUAAUUUCCCCCAACGCAACAACUGUGAAUUUCAUUAUAAGACAUCCAUUUGGAUUGAAUUUAGUGCAGUGUCUGCUUUCUUUGACAGGUGUUCUCCAAAUUGGUGGCUGGUAAGCAUCACCUCUGCUAAUUCACAUGACCAAACUGGACCUCUUGAUCAUAUUUGUCCUUUUGUUGUCUUUCGUAGGAUUUUUUAAAUGGAACUGUCUGAAAUAAUAUGGCUGACUGUGAGGUACAGCCCCUCUGAGAGGUUUGUCCUACAACUUUGUGUGAGUGGAAAUGGGGCAUGCAGGCAUGGCGGGAGUGCUGGGAGGAGAGAAAGCAGCCAGGGUGGCACGUUGACUGGAGGAUCGCCAACCGCUCUCAAACAGCAUGCAACAGGCGUGGGCAGUAAUGCCUGUGUGAUUGGGCUGUGCUGGGUGAUGAUUUUAAUAAACACACACCCGCAGAGGUGGCCACAGGUCAACCGUGUUUGGAUUCAUCAGGUGCACAGAAUGAGCCAGGUCCCAGCAGAGAUGCUUCUUACAACAGAGGGGACUCCCAAACCUAAUAUCCACAACACAGAGGCUCCUGCUAUGAAGUGGUUGAGCGGUUUUCCUUCUCUGAUGUCCUCCCCGAGCACUGGAAAGAGCACAGAUCGAGCCAGCACAGACAAAUCCUUGCAGAGCUGCUAUGAAUGUGCUCCUGCUGGCAGAGGUGACAAACAGACAUACGCUGCCCUCAGUGGACACUUCCUGUAGAUGCAACACAUUUAACAGGAAACAGUGCUGCAAGCCCAGCUGUCAACAUUAAAGUCACCGAAAUAGAAUGAUCUGAAUAACUGAGAAUCCUCCUGGCCCACUGUUUAGCAGUCUCAUCUCCUUCUCAGUGAGUUUGGUAAGUACACAAAUGCAAAUCAUGGUAAAGUCUGCUUUACAAAAAACAGGAUGCUUUGAAGCUAAAAAAAACAGUCAUGUAGCACUCCAGUGCUUUCUUUUAUCUAACUGAAAUGUGAGGGGAGUAAAGGUGCUUGAGUACAUGUUUAUUUUAUGGACAACUUCAGAUCUACAUACUAAAUAUUUAUAUUGCAUACGUCCAUGGAUUGUAUGUAAUCAUCUCUGUUUAAUGCAACUCUUCAGAGAAAUGAAUGCAGUGGGUUUUGGUCAGUGGUUGUUGAUCAAUGGUCAUGAGAAUUUGCAUAAUUAUGAUUAAGGAACUGACCUCCCAGCCCAUUGUUCCUUCAGUGGCCUGGUUUCAGUCAGUAUGCCAAUGUGCUGUUUAUAAGAUUGGGGAAACCUGCAGUCAGCUGAAGAAGUCACUUAGAUGAGUGACGAAACGUUUCUCCCACAAAACGCUACGUCCAGAUGAACAGAAUCAACUUUUGGAGACCUUUAGGAGCUGCAUUUAUUUCAUUAACCCACGAAUUUUCACCUUGAAAAAAGUAUGCUCAUAAAUAACAUUUUUAUGGCUUUGAGCCCUAAAAUCUGAGAUUAUUUUUAAUAAUCCUGGCCAGUAGCACACCGGCCAUAUUGCUGAUUAAUGUAUGAACUGUAUUUAUCUACAUUUUUCCAAAUGUCACUUUUAAUCUGAGCCAAGGUUGUGAUUAUAGAGAAAGUUAAGGACUUCAUUUGAAGUUAUCAACGCCUGGUUGAAACUAGCCUUUUGGCCUUUGCAAGCUUUCCCUUUACCCAACUUCUUACUUAACAAGGCCAGGCUGAAAAAUCCACAGAUCUAAUUGAAUAUUGAUAUGUGUGUGUAUAGAGGCCCAGAGCGAGGCUUGCCCAUGUUAAGCCAUUCAGUGCAUCCUCUUGAUUGAAAUUCCAUUAGCUUGUUAGUAGAGGAUAGUGGAGAGUCGGUGAAUACUUAGCCUUGUUAGCCGAGGCGCAGGCUAAAUGAGUGUGCACAGGGUCAUUGUCCACUUAAAACUCACUCUGCAAACCGGCGGGCAGCUUGAAUAAUUCAUGGAGCAUGACCUGCGCUGACUGGGCUUUAAACGAGUGUAGCUUCUCUGUCUGUCUGUUUGGAUAAUAUCUCCACUCUGGAGUUAAUUAAGUUUUCAUUUUUUUUUUAUUUCAGCCAGCUGUGUGUACAGCGGUCAGAGACUUGUCCCUGUGGAGACACUGAAAGCCAAAUGAAAAGCGAAUGGAGAAAAAAUGAUUGCAAUAUAAAGUUAUAAAUGGAGCUUUUUCUUCUCCUAUCUCAUCAUACAGGAAGCACAUUAGCCCAUUAAUUAGAAGCCAUUACCUGUCUCUGUUCAACAGGUUUCAGAAAACUGUUUAUUCUAUAGGAACUGGAUGUUGCAACCUUUGAAACAAAUAACAGUAAAGUUGAAUGGCAUUUGAGACCAAGCUCUGAUAAAGCUUCUCAUUCAGAUAAUCUUUUGCAAAAACCCUCCAAAAUUUCAAGGCAGUUCAUGAAAGGUUACUCAUAAGUAGUUUUAGACUAAACAUAAAUCAAAUGAAUAUGCCUAGAUCAAAGAAACAUCAAGUAGGAGAAAAUAAGCAACAUUCUACAAGUACAAGUACAAACGAUGCAGUCUGUAGAAACCUGCAGUCCUAUUGUCAGUUAUAAGUCCUGUAUAAUAAAGCACCUCCGUGGAAGCCUCCAUUCCCAUAAAUGAAACAUUUCUCAGCUGUUUGUGUUUUUAGCCCUUGACACUGCACUUUAAAGGUCCUUUGGUAUGCCACUUUUCUCCACUCAGAGGCGCUACAUGCCACCAGGUAAGGCAGACAACUGCUUGGGGCUCCAGGCCAUUGGGGGUACCCCUGAGGGCUGACAUAACUUAAACUCCAGCAGUGGCAGUUUAUAGUGACAGAAGAAAAGAAAUGACCUUCUUUGGGGGGGUCCCACCUGACUCCAGUCACCCCUGUUGCAAAUGGUGUGCAUGUUUCUGCUUAAACAAACUUAAUAAGAACAAAGAAAGAGUCAAUAAAAAUAUAGAAGACUUGUUCUUUGGAGAAGAGAAGGAAGAAAUAAAAGAGGUAAAAAGUAAAACACUGGUGAGGAGUUUUGUACAGAAAUUCCACUAUAGCCUUACUUUAUUUCAUUUAUUGAUGGACUGGUUGUUAUAUAGCGCUUUUCUACUCUAACUUAGCACUAAAAGUAUUUAUACAACUUGCCUCAUUCAUACCCAUUCAUACAAGCACUUCUUGACAUGCUUUUUCCACGUACGUGCUUUUUAUCUAACAUUCAGACACCUCCUGAGCCACAGCCACCCUUAGCUAUCUUGGCUAGCAGAGCAGCCUAUUGUGUUGAGUCAAGGACACACUAGGAUGCGAGGAGUUGACUGUUUAACAAAGCAACAAGUUCUCCAAUUCUGACAUAUAUCUAUGUUUUUAUUCCUUCAAUUAUGCACCAAAGUAGUGUCCUACAAUGCAAUGUGACUAGCGCUUCACUUUUUAUCAAGAUUCCUGCAUGGCAUCUAAUGGAAACACUCCACUGAGAAGAGAUGCCAUGCCUUUUUAUGACCAACUUUUUAUUAUUGAAAUGGUGUGUUAAAACAAAUAUCUCAGAGCAGAACCAGACAAAAAGGCCCAAAGACAAAAUGACAAUGAAUAAUACAAUAACUAUAUUAUUAGUUAUGCAUUUUAGCAUUCAUUUAUUUGUUGUGCUUCAUAGAGGUUCUUACUGCACCCAAAAUGUGUACGGCUAACCACCAGCAGCAUUAACGCUAAAGAAAGAAAAAUAACAGAAACUUCUGGCUUCCGGUUGAACAGCCAUACACUGUACAUUUACUGCUGUACAUACAUCUCUCUAUGUCAGCAUCGUCAGCAGUAGUUAUCUAAUAGUUAGUUAAUAGUAGUUAGCUAAUGACGAGCUUGGUUAAGGAUUUAUAAUGUAUUUAUUUAUAACUAUUUAUAAUAGUCCACAAAUUGAGUAGGGUGGAAGAAUCUGUUUCAUUAAUGAAACAAAUACUAAGCUGCUUGUAUCCGCGUUCUCGUUCUUUUGGUCACUACUCACAGCUCGUGACCAUAGGUGAGGGUAGGGACAUAGAUCGACCAGUAAACUGAGAGCUUCACUUUUACACUCAGCUCUCUCUUCACCACGAUGGACCAGUACAGCGUUUGCAUCACUGCAGCUGCAGCACCAACCUGUCUGUCGAUCUCCCACUCCCUUCUCUCAUCACAUGAUCUUAUAUCGUUGUGUUGGUGUUGUUCCCAGAUCAUCAUAAUAAUUGUUGUUC